GAUGAACGCUAGCGGGAGGCCUAACACAUGCAAGCCGAGCGGUAUUGUUUCUUCUGAAAUGAGAGAGCGGCGUACGGGUGCGUAACACGUGUGCAACCUGCCUUUAUCUGGGGGAUAGCCUUUCGAAAGGAAGAUUAAUACUCCAUAAUAUAUUGAACGGCAUCGUUUAAUAUUGAAAGCUCCGGCGGAUAGAGAUGGGCACGCGCAAGAUUAGCUAGUUGGUGAGGUAACGGCUCACCAAGGCGAUGAUCUUUAGGGGGCCUGAGAGGGUGAUCCCCCACACUGGUACUGAGACACGGACCAGACUCCUACGGGAGGCAGCAGUGAGGAAUAUUGGUCAAUGGGUGCAAGCCUGAACCAGCCAUCCCGCGUGAAGGACGACUGCCCUAUGGGUUGUAAACUUCUUUUGUAUAGGGAUAAACCUACCCUCGAGAGGGUAGCUGAAGGUACUAUACGAAUAAGCACCGGCUAACUCCGUG
rnacentral:rRNA from 1 species